GGGAGGUCUAGGUAGCCGUACUGCUGGUACAGGCUCUGCGUGUAGUCGUAGGCGGCCCGGAUGGCGGCGAUGGCCUGCUCCAUAUUCAGCCGCACGCUGUCCGACAUCACCGUCUUCCCCUUCAUCAUCUGGCGGGCGGAAAGGAGUCAGCUCUGAUCAAGGUGCACAGGGCCAAGCAACAGACACAAUAGAGCUAUGACGCCACACACUCACCGGCAUAGUUAGGAGCAAUGUCCAUGGGGGUGAGUGUAAAGGAGGAGAGGGUGGCGGGACUCCCGAUCAUGGCCACCAUCAGCAUGGCCGCCACGAGCCACUUGUUGCAGCCGGCCAGCACCACACUCACCAGGCCCACCACCACACCCACCAUGCCUGAAGGAGACCCAGCCAUAAGGUGGACUCAGAGAAAUGCAUCAGUCAGCACCUAUUAGGAGGAAGGAAUGGGGAAGAGGAAAUGGAAAGAACGAAGGAGGGGCAGCAGCCAGCGCCCUGCCCUGUGCCCCUCACCCACCUAUGGUUUUGGUGAAAAAGUAGCCCCAGAAGAAGGUGCCG